GACGAACGCUGGCGGCGUGCUUAACACAUGCAAGUCGAACGGUAAGGCCCUUCGGGGUACACGAGUGGCGAACGGGUGAGUAACACGUGGGUGAUCUGCCCUGCACGUCGGGAUAAGCCUGGGAAACUGGGUCUAAUACCGGAUAAGACCAAGUCCUGCAUGGGUGGUGGUGGAAAGCUUGUGCGGUGUGGGAUGGGCCCGCGGCCUAUCAGCUUGUUGGUGGGGUGAUGGCCUACCAAGGCGACGACGGGUAGCCGGCCUGAGAGGGUGACCGGCCACACUGGGACUGAGAUACGGCCCAGACUCCUACGGGAGGCAGCAGUGGGGAAUAUUGCACAAUGGGCGCAAGCCUGAUGCAGCGACGCCGCGUGAGGGAUGACGGCCUUCGGGUUGUAAACCUCUUUCAGCACCGACGAAGCGCAAGUGACGGUAGGUGCAGAAGAAGGACCGGCCAACUACGUGCCAGCCGCCGCCGUAA
rnacentral:rRNA from 1 species